rnacentral:rRNA from 1 species
AAUGAACGUUGGCGGCGUGGAUUAGGCAUGCAAGUCGAGCGAGAAGGUUUCUUUUGCUUGCAUUGGAAACCGGAAAGCGGCGCAAGGGAGAGUAACGCGUAGGGCACCUGCCCCCAGGCUCGGGAUAGCGGCGGGAAACUGCCGGUAAUACCGAAUAAUGUCCCCGGACCAAAGGUGUGAUUCCGCCUGGGGAUGGUCCUGCGUCCUAUUAGUUUGUUGGUGAGGUAAUGGCUCACCAAGACGAUGAUGGGUAGCGGGCGUGAGAGCGUGGCCCGUCUCACUGGGACUGAGACACUGCCCAGACACCUACGGGUGCUGCAGUCGAGAAUCUUCCGCAAUGGACGCAAGUCUGACGGAGCGACGCCGCGUGCGGGAUGAAGGCCUUCGGGUUGUAAACCGCUGUCAGUGGGUGGAAAUC